ACUCCUACGGGAGGCAGCAGUGGGGAAUAUUGCACAAUGGGCGCAAGCCUGAUGCAGCCAUGCCGCGUGUGUGAAGAAGGCCUUGGGUUGUAAAGCACUUUCAGUCGUGAGGAAGGUAGUGUAGUUAAUAGCUGCAUUAUUUGACGUUUAGCGACAGAAGAAGCACCGGCUAACUCCGUGCCAGCAGCCGCGGUAAUACGGAGGGUGCGAGCGUUAAUCGGAAUUACUGGGCGUAAAGCGCAUGCAGGUGGUUGUUAAGUCAGAUGUGAAAGCCCGGGGCUCAACCUCGGAAUAGCAUUUGAAACUGGCAGACUAGAGUACUGUAGAGGGGGUAGAAUUUCAGGUGUAGCGGUGAAAUGCGUAGAGAUCUGAAGGAAUACCGGUGGCGAAGGCGGCCCCUGGACAGAUACUGACACUCAGAUGCGAAAGCGUGGGAGCAAACAGGAUUAGAUACCCCGU
rnacentral:rRNA from 1 species